UACGGGGGGGGCAAGCGUUGUUCGGAAUUACUGGGCGUAAAGGGCUCGUAGGCGGCGUGACAAGUCGGGUGUGAAAGCCCUCAGCUCAACUGAGGAAGUGCGCCCGAAACUGUCGUGCUUGAGUGCCGGAGAGGGUGGCGGAAUUCCCCAAGUAGAGGUGAAAUUCGUAGAUAUGGGGAGGAACACCGGUGGCGAAGGCGGCCACCUGGACGGUAACUGACGCUGAGACGCGAAAGCGUGGGGAGCAAACAGG
rnacentral:rRNA from 1 species